rnacentral:lncRNA from 1 species
CAGGUGGAAGGUUGGGGCCAAUGACGCAAGUUCCUUUUGUAAAGCUUCGACCCUUGCAAUAACCAUUACAAUCAGGAUUUAGACUACAUGUUGUUGGACAAAUCAAGUCGGCAUUGGCUGCAAUAAUACUUUAUAUUAUUAGUAAAAGAGAAUAAUAUCAAAUAACAAUUAAGUAUUAAUCUAGCUUAUUAGUCUAGAUAAAAAAUGAUAAUGAACUAUAAACAAAGUUGUAUGAGCAAAUAAUUCUUGAAAUAUUAAAUAUUUGUUUUGUUCUUAGCUUACAUACCAUGAAAGAAAAGGAGAACUCCAACAAUGACUACGGAGAAAAAUUUCAAAACAGCCAUUUGGUUAAAGCUGGGACUACGAAUCUUGUUCUGUUGCUUUUAACAAUAGG